rnacentral:lncRNA from 1 species
AGCCAAUUGAGUGCUGAGUUUGCCUUCAAGACAGUGGGCUGGGCGUCACACAUGAUUGGCUCCAGACUGAUUGUUCUAAUGACGCUCAUGUGUGAUCACUGUGACAUUUAGGUGUCUAUUUUACAUGCUCUGGGAAUAUCUGCAUUUGUCAUCAAACUUCAGUGUAUGAAAACAAUGGCCCUCACAAUAAGCCCAAGCUUAUCACCACAAUCAUGGCUGAACAAAACAACUGUGAUCAAAACAAGGCU